rnacentral:misc_RNA from 1 species
AGUUGAUCUAUGAAGAUCUCUCAUUCACCUGAAUGUUUAAAUACCUACAGAAUCAUGCAAGUACUUGCAACUUAGCCCAUAGUAGCAUCUUCCUUGAGCAUAAAAGUGGCAAAGCUUCUUUUGUUCCUCGCGCUGUCCUUGAAUUGGACGCUUUCCAUUCCUUGCUUGCCAAUUACCAGUUCUUUGUGGAGAUUUAUUGUUCAUAUUUUGUGAAUGACCAUGACCUCCUGUAUACAUAUGACUAUGUCCUUCUAAUGGACUUCUACUAGUAUUGCAGUUGUUGUAACUUCCAUCGCUAUAGCCCCUCCAUGUUGGAAUGUCAUAAUAGUAUGUGUUACCUCCAUAGCUAGAGCCCCUCCACAUUGGCAUAUGCCUAUGCAUAUGUGAGUUAUGCUUCUCUCUGUUAGAACUAGGAUCAUUCAGGUUCACAUUAGUCAAAGGCUGCCUCUGAUUAGGCCUUUCUUCUGGCCUAUUUUCUCUAGGGUAGACAUUUUCCUGUAUUACGACAUUUGUAUAAUUUCUGAAUUGCUUUUGUUCAUCUUUUUGGCUGUUGUACACCACUUCUACCUGACGCUGAUCAUUCUCGUUUAAGGAGUUCAUCGAGCGAGAAUGCAGUUGUUUCCCUUUACCCUCAGCUACUGUUUUCUUCUCCUUGUAAUCUGUGCUUACCCUGAGAUAUUUAGACAAACAUUGAUUCAAAUGUUCAUAAUCAAGUGAAGUUGGUUUAUUUCAUAAGUUCAUUCUAUCAAUCUGCUUCCUAUAAUGACCAAAAUUAUAAUGGUAAACCUAUUUUCCCUUCGCAUCUUUCGCAUUUCCUUCUCUUGGACACGUGUUUCCCUGCUAGACCGAGCAACAGAACCUCUGGCAUGCUUUUCUGAUAAAAUUUUCUGCCGUUCUGCUUCAUCGUCCCAUUUCUGUCGCAAUGUUUUUAAUCUAUAGAGGUUUCUACCCUUAAUGAGGAGAGGAUGCAGUGGAGGCAGCGGUUUUUCCCCUUUACUCCACAAUACCUCAACCGUAAAGGUAUGUUGCUGCUUUUUAGCACCAUAGCUCUCUUUCACAAUCCGCCCUGCUACUAUUCUUGUCCCACAGGGAGGGCCAGUAGCACUCCUGGAUGCAAUGCUGAACAUUUCAUAUACAUUUUGUUCAAACAUAACAACAUCCCCAGUGCACGCAUCCCCUUUGCAGUUCAAUACAAAACUAGAUGGGGGAUACUUUUCCUCUCCACGACCAUUGAGGAUGUCUGUGUGCUCUUUGAUGCGCUGAAUAAGUGUAUCUUUGGUACCCGUCAAUCUCAGCCCAUGUUUCCUUAGGUAAACCUUGCAUUGCUCCACUUUCAAUUUCUCAAUCUGACCAGCUUUGAUUAUCUUCUGAACAGUUUCAUAGCUUUUUUUAUCCUUCUCAUCAAGCUCUGGAACUAUCACUACCUCCUCCAGAUCCUUCUCUUCCUCAACGCAAUCUUCCAAAGCCUUAGAAACAUUCCGCCUGACAGACAUAAUAUCCAUAGAUUUCUGUUUUUUGAUUGAGAGUUUUGAAAGUGAGGAUUGUGUCUCCUCAAGAAGAUCAAAAGUUGGAUCAUCUUGCGAAUCAUCGGAAUCGUAGUCGCUAUCACUUUCCGAUACAUCGUACGGCUGCUCUGCUG